rnacentral:lncRNA from 1 species
CAAUUAAAUCUAUUUUAUUACAUUAAAACCCACACCGAACGCAACUCGCGGCUCAGUCUUGCACUCAACUCGCCCCAAACAUUAUCCUGGCUCGUGCAAAUUGCAGCCUAUUCUUUUAAAUUUCCAAAUGGUGCUUGUUCCAAGGAGUUUUCUUGUGGUUUUUUGAUGAUCGAAAAACAAAGGUUCUUCAGGGUUCCUAUGUUUUUGAGUUGCCAAAGAAAGAGAAAGAAGUGGGGAGGAUAGCCAACAAUAGGGAGUCACUCCUGAAGAGGCGAGAAAGAGAGAAGCGACAAGGAAGAUAUGUUCAUGUGAUGGGGCCAGAGGGAGGACCUGAGAACAGGAGAAUAGGUGUUGGAGCGCAGGUGUGUACAGAAGGGUCAGAGGUCGUUAUGUGGGAACAUGAGGAGGGAGUGGCAAUGCUAGGAGAGAUUUUAGACCGAUAAGGGAAGGGGAGGCUCCUAGAAGCGGAUUAGGAUUGGAGAGAUUAUUACAAAGGGAGCUUUUUUCUUAUUCACU